CCCAUAGAGCCCAUACAUCAGCCCCAUAGAGCCCCAUAGAGCCCCAGAAAUCCCAUAGAGCCCAUAGGUCUGCCCCAUAGAGCCCCAGAGAUCCCAUAGAGCACAGAGAUCUGCCCCAUAGAGCCCAUAGGUCUGCCCCAUAGAGCCCCAGAGAUCCCAUAGAGCACAGAGAUCUGCCCCAUAGAGCCCAUAGGUCUGCCCCAUAGAGCCCCAGAGAUCCCAUAGAGCCCAUAGGUCUGCCCCAUAGAGCCCCAGAGAGCCCCAGAGAGCCCCAUAGAUGCCAGAGAUCCCAUAGAUGCCAUACAGAGCAGACAUCUGCCCCACAAAGCCCAUAGGUCUGCCCCAUAGAGCCCCAUACAGCCCAUAGGUCUGCCCCAUAGAGCCCCAUACAGCCCCUAGAGCACAGAAAUCUGCCCCAUAGAGCCCAUAGGUCUGCCCCAUAGAGCCCCAGAGAUCCCAUAGAGCACAGAAAUCUGCCCCAUAGAGCCCAUAGGUCUGCCCCAUAGAGCCCCAGAGAUCCCAUAGAGCCCAUAGGUCUGCCCCAUAGAGCCCCAGAGAUCCCAUAGAGCACAGAAUCGCCCCAUAGAGCCCCAGAGAUCCCAUAGAGCCCAUACAUCUGUCCCACAGAGGACAGAGAGCCCAUAGGUCUGCCCCAUAGAGCCCCAUACGUCUGCCCCAUAGAGCCCCAUAGAGCCCAUACAUCUGUCCCACAGACGACAGAGAGCCCAUAGGUCUGCCCCAUAGAGCCCAUAGGUCUGCCCCAUAGAGCCCCAUAGAGCCCAUAGAGCCCCAUAGAGCCCACAGGUCUGCCCCAUAGAGCCCCAUAAAGGCCCAUAGAGACCCAUAGAGCCCAUAGAGCCCAUACAUCUGUCCCACAGAGGACAGAGAGCCCAUAGGUCUGCCCCAUAGAGCCCCAUAGAGCCCAUAGAGCCCAGAGAUCUGCCCCAUAGAGCCCCAUACAGCCCCAGAAAUCCCAUAGAUGCCAUACAGAGCAGACAUCUGCCCCAUAGAGCCCCAGAGAUCCCAUAGAGCCCAUAGGUCUGCCCCAUAGAGCCCCAGAGAUCCCAUAGAGCACAGAGAUCUGCCCCAUAGAGCCCCAUAGAUCUCCAUAGAGCACAGAGAUCUGCCCCAUAGAGCCCCAGAGAUCCCAUAGAGCACAGAGAUCUGCCCCAUAGAGCCCCAUAGAUCUCCAUAGAGCACAGAGAUCUGCCCCAUAGAGCCCCAGAGAUCCCAUAGAGCACAGACAUCUGCCCCAUAGAGCCCCAGAGAUCCCAUAGAGCACAGAGAUCUGCCCCAUAGAGCCCCAGAGAUCCCAUAGAGCACAGAGAUCUGCCCCAUAGAGCCCCAGAGAUCCCAUAGAGCACAGAGAUCUGCCCCACAGAACCCAUAGGUCUGCCCCAUAGAGCCCAUAGAGCACAGAGAUCUGCCCCAUAGAGCCCAUAGGUCUGCCCCAUAGAGCCCCAGAGAUCUCCAUAGAGCACAGAGAUCCCAUCCCCAGGAUGGCCCCACCCACUUCCGGCCACGCCCCCUUUAAGCCCCGCCUCCCCUGACCACACCCUCCUUCAGCCCUUCAACUCCCAUGGCCGCCAUUGGCCAACCCCAAUGGCUCCCAAUGGACCCUACAGACCCCACCCACUUCCGGCCCACCCACUUCGGGACCCACCCACUUCCGGCCACGCCCUCUUUAAGCCCCGCCUCUAUUGACCACACCGCCUUCAGCCCUUCAACCCCCAUGGACGCCAUUGGCCAACCACAAUGGCUCCCAAUGGACCCUACAGACCCCACCCACUUCCGGCUCCUCCCCUUCCGGGCCCUCCCACUUCCGGCCACGCCCACUUCAAGCCACGCCCCCUUUACUCCCUACCCCAAUGGAAGCCAUUGGCCAACCCAACCCAACGCCAACCCCAAUGGCUCCCAAUGGAUCCUACAGACCCCUCCCACUUCCGGCCCACCCACUUCCGGCCACGCCCUCUUUAAGCCCCGCCUCCCCGACCACACCCUCCUUCAGCCCUUCAACUCUCAUGGACGCCAUUGGCCAACCCCAAUGGCUCCCAAUGGACCCUACAGACCUCACCCACUUCCGACUUCUCACCUUCCGGGACUUCCCACUUCCGGUCACGCCCACUUUAAGCCCCGCCUCCUUUACGACCGAUGCCAUUGGCCCACCCAAUGGAUGCCAUUGGCCAACCCAACGUCACCGACCCAACAGACCCGACAACCACACCCCCAACCCACUUCCGGCCCCUCCCACUUCCGGCCACGCCCCCUUUAAGCCCCGCCUCCCCGACCACACCCUCCUUCAGCCCUUCAAUUCCCAUGGACGCCAUUGGCCAACCCCAAUGGCUCCCAAUGGACCCUACAGACCCCUCCCACUUCUGGCACCUCCCACUUCCGGCCACGCCCACUUUAAGCCCCGCCUCCUUUACGGCGGAUGCCAUUGGCCCACCCAAUGGACGCCAUUGGCCAACCCAACACCACCGACCCCAAUAGACCCUACAGACCCCUCCCACUUCCGGCUCCUCCCCUUCCUGGACCUCCCACUUCCGGCCACGCCCACUUCAAGCCACGCCCCCUUUACUCCCUACCCCAAUGGAAGCCAUUGGCCAACCCAACACCACCGACCCAACAGACCCUAC
ensembl:lncRNA